rnacentral:rRNA from 1 species
GACGAACGCUGGCGGCGUGCUUAACACAUGCAAGUCGAACGGAAAGGCCCUGCUUUUGUGGGGUGCUCGAGUGGCGAACGGGUGAGUAACACGUGAGUAACCUGCCCUUGACUUUGGGAUAACUUCAGGAAACUGGGGCUAAUACCGGAUAGGAGCUCCUGCUGCAUGGCGGGGGUUGGAAAGUUUCGGCGGUUGGGGAUGGACUCGCGGCUUAUCAGCUUGUUGGUGGGGUAGUGGCUUACCAAGGCUUUGACGGGUAGCCGGCCUGAGAGGGUGACCGGCCACAUUGGGACUGAGAUACGGCCCAGACUCCUACGGGAGGCAGCAGUGGGGAAUAUUGCACAAUGGGCGGAAGCCUGAUGCAGCAACGCCGCGUGCGGGAUGACGGCCUUCGGGUUGUAAACCGCUUUCGCCUGUGACGAAGCGUGAGUGACGGUAAUGGGUAAAGAAGCACCGGCUAACUACGUGCCAGCAGCCGCGGUGAUACGUAGGGUGCGAGCGUUGUCCGGAUUUAUUGGGCGUAAAGGGCUCGUAGGUGGUUGAUCGCGUCGGAAGUGUAAUCUCGGGGCUUAACCCUGAGCGUGCUUUCGAUACGGGUUGACUUGAGGAAGGUAGGGGAGAAUGGAAUUCCUGGUGGAGCGGUGGAAUGCGCAGAUAUCAGGAGGAACACCAGUGGCGAAGGCGGUUCUCUGGGCCUUUCCUGACGCUGAGGAGCGAAAGCGUGGGGAGCGAACAGGCUUAGAUACCCUGGUAGUCCACGCUGUAAACGGUGGGUACUAGGUGUGGGGUCCAUUCCACGGGUUCCGUGCCGUAGCUAACGCUUUAAGUACCCCGCCUGGGGAGUACGGCCGCAAGGCUAAAACUCAAAGGAAUUGACGGGGCCCCGCACAAGCGGCGGAGCAUGCGGAUUAAUUCGAUGCAACGCGUAGAACCUUACCUGGGUUUGACAUGGAUCGGGAGUGCUCAGAGAUGGGUGUGCCUCUUUUGGGGUCGGUUCACAGGUGGUGCAUGGCUGUCGUCAGCUCGUGUCGUGAGAUGUUGGGUUAAGUCCCGCAACGAGCGCAACCCUUGUUCACUGUUGCCAGCACGUUAUGGUGGGGACUCAGUGGAGACCGCCGGGGUCAACUCGGAGGAAGGUGGGGAUGACGUCAAGUCAUCAUGCCCCUUAUGUCCAGGGCUUCACGCAUGCUACAAUGGCUGGUACAGAGAGUGGCGAGCCUGUGAGGGUGAGCGAAUCUCGGAAAGCCGGUCUCAGUUCGGAUUGGGGUCUGCAACUCGACCUCAUGAAGUCGGAGUCGCUAGUAAUCGCAGAUCAGCAACGCUGCGGUGAAUACGUUCCCGGGGCU